rnacentral:lncRNA from 1 species
CUGCCGGCCUGUGUGUUUUCAGUCCAACCCUCUUUCUGGAGAUCUACUGUCCUGUAGGUUUUCAGUCCAACCCUCUUCCUGGAGAUCUACUGUCCUGUAGGUUAUCAGUCCAACCCUCUUCCUGGAGAUCUGCCGGCCUGUGUGUUUUCAGUCCAACCCUCUUUCUGGAGAUCUACCGUCCUGUGGGUUUUCAGUCCAACCCUCUUCCUGGAGAUCUGCCGUCCUGUGGGUUUUCAGUCCAACCCUCUUCCUGGAGAUCUACCGUCCUGUGGGUUUUCAGUCCAACCCUCUUCCUGGAGAUCUACCGUCCUGUGGGUUAUCAGUCCAGCCCUCUUCCUGGAGAUCUACUGUCCUGUAGGUUAUCAGUCCAACCCUCUUCCUGGAGAUCUACUGUCCUGUAGGUUAUCAGUCCAACCCUCUUCCUGGAGAUCUACCGUCCUGUAGGUUAUCAGUCCAACCCUCUUCCUGGAGAUCUACCGUCCUGUAGGUUAUCAGUCCAACCCUCUUCCUGGAGAUCUACUGUCCUGUAGGUUAUCAGUCCAACCCUCUUCCUGGAGAUCUACUGUCCUGUAGGUUAUCAGUCCAACCCUCUUCCUGGAGAUCUACCGUCCUGUGGGUUUUCAGUCCAACCCUCUUCCUGGAGAUCUACUGUCCUGUAGGUUAUCAGUCCAACCCUCUUCCUGGAGAUCUACUGUCCUGUAGGUU